UGCUGAGUUCACACGUAAUUUAAAUUCGAUUCGCAUUACCUAAUUGGAAUUAGUUUAAUUCGCAUUCAAAACGUUUUACGUCCUAACGUCAUUCUAAUUCGAAUUACAAUGCGCGUCAAAUUCGCUUUACUGUCCAAACGACGUUACCUUUUAGUUUGUAUUAUACAAAAGCGUAUUUCUGAAUCAAUUCAAAUUAAAAAAAGAAGAGUGUGUGAACGCGAUUAGCGAAUUCGAUUCACAUUCGAUUCGAAUUCAAUUCGAAUUAAAUGUACGUGUG
rnacentral:lncRNA from 1 species